AAAUUUUGAGUGGAGAAAUUUAUUGAUAAAACCAAAAAAUAAUAGCUAAAAGAAUAUAUUUAUCAUUUUUUUGAUGUGUGUGAAAACCUUUAUACAUUAUACACUUGUAAAUUGGAUCAAUAUUUCUAAUAGAAACUAAAAAGAAGUCAACUUCUUCUUUAAAAAUAUACUAGAGAUUGAUCUGUGCACCCACACAGGUAUUGGUUCUUACAUUUUUAUAUAUUGAUAUUUGUUUUCUUAUAACUAGUGUUAUAUAUUUUAAAUGUGUCGUAAUAUAACUAAUUGUAUUCAAAAGACCUAAACCGAAUCGAGUAAUAUGAUUAUUUUUUGUACAAAUAUCCGAACCCGUUUCAGAUACAUUUGUUAUUUAGAUAUUUUUAAGUUCCAAUACAUUAAAACCGUAC
rnacentral:lncRNA from 1 species